UAUAAUUUACUUGAUCUUGACACAAUCCUACUUGGAUAACUGUGGUAAUUCUAGAGCUAAUACAUGCAUUAAAGCUCUGACCUCACGGGAAGAGUGCAUUUAUUAGAACAAAACCAAGCGGCUUCGGCUGUUUCUGGUUGACUCAUAGUAACUGAGCUGAUCGCAUGGUCUUGCACCGGCGACGUGUCUUUCAAGUAUCUGCCGUAUCAACUUUCGAUGGUAGUGUAUCUGACUACCAUGGUGAUCACGCGUAACGGAGAAUAAGGGUUCGGCUCCGGAGAGUUCGCCUGAGAAAUCGCGAACACAUCUAAGGAAGGCAGCAGGCGCGAAAAUUACCCACUCUCAGCACGAGGAGGUAGUGACGAAAAAUAACGAGACCGUUCUCUUAUGAGGCCGGUCAUCGGAAUGGGUACAAUUUAAACCCUUUAACGAGUAUCUAUGAGAGGGCAAGUCUGGUGCCAGCAGCCGCGGUAAUUCCAGCUCUCAAAGUGCAUAGAAUUAUUGCUGCGGUUAAAAAGCUCGUAGUUGGAUCUGUGCCAUAGGACGUGGUCCACCUUCGGGUGCGUACUACGCUCCUAGGCUUUUUGCUGGUUUUCCCGUCGUAGCCUUCACUGGUUGCGGCGGGUGGCUGGCGAGUUUACUUUGAGAAAAUCAGAGUGCUCAAUACAGGCGUAUCGCUUGAAUGAUUGUGCAUGGAAUAAUAGAAAAGGAUUUCGGUCCUCUUUUAUUGGUUUUGUGGACUGAGAUAAUGGUUAACAGGGACAAACGGGGGCAUUCGUAUCUCUGCGUGAGAGGUGAAAUUCUUGGACCGUAGAGAGACGCCCUACUGCGAAAGCAUUUGCCAAGAAUGUCUUCA
rnacentral:rRNA from 1 species